GAAUCUGCCUGGUAGUGGGGGAUAACGUCCGGAAACGGACGCUAAUACCGCAUACGUCCUACGGGAGAAAGCAGGGGACCUUCGGGCCUUGCGCUAUCAGAUGAGCCUAGGUCGGAUUAGCUAGUUGGUGGGGUAAUGGCUCACCAAGGCGACGAUCCGUAACUGGUCUGAGAGGAUGAUCAGUCACACUGGAACUGAGACACGGUCCAGACUCCUACGGGAGGCAGCAGUGGGGAAUAUUGGACAAUGGGCGAAAGCCUGAUCCAGCCAUGCCGCGUGUGUGAAGAAGGUCUUCGGAUUGUAAAGCACUUUAAGUUGGGAGGAAGGGCAGUAAAUUAAUACUUUGCUGUUUUGACGUUACCGACAGAAUAAGCACCGGCUAACUCUGUGCCAGCAGCCGCGGUAAUACAGAGGGUGCAAGCGUUAAUCGGAAUUACUGGGCGUAAAGCGCGCGUAGGUGGUUCGUUAAGUUGGAUGUGAAAUCCCCGGGCUCAGCCUGGGAACUGCAUUCAAAACUGACGAGCUAGAGUAUGGUAGAGGGUGGUGGAAUUUCCUGUGUAGCGGUGAAAUGCGUAGAUAUA
rnacentral:rRNA from 1 species